rnacentral:rRNA from 1 species
AGGAUUAACGCUGGCGGCAUGCCUAAUACAUGCAAGUCGAAUGGGGAGCUUGCUUCCCAUGGCGAACGGGUGAGUAAUACGUAGGUAACCUACCUUUAGGACGAGGAUAACCUUUGGAAACGAAGGAUAAUACUGGAUAGUAUAGAUUUCCGCAUGGAGAUAUAUUUAAAGAUUUAUCACCUAGAGAGGGGCCUGCGGUGCAUUAGCUAGUUGGCGGGAUAAAAGCCCACCAAGGCGAUGAUGCAUAGCCGGACUGAGAGGUUGUACGGCCACAAUGGAACUGAGAACGGUCCAUACUCCUACGGGAGGCAGCAGUAGGGAAUUUUCGGCAAUGGGCGGAAGCCUGACCGAGCAAUGCCGCGUGAAUGAUGAAGUAUUUCGGUAUGUAAAGUUCUUUUAUCUAGGAAGAAAAACAAAUUGACGGUACUAGAUGAAUAAGCUCCGGCUAACUACGUGCCAGCAGCAGC